UACGAAGGGAGCUAGCGUUGUUCGGAAUCACUGGGCGUAAAGCGCACGUAGGCGGAUGUGUCAGUCAGGGGUGAAAUCCCGGAGCUCAACUUCGGAACUGCCUUUGAUACAGCACAUCUGGAGUCCGGAAGAGGUGGGUGGAAUUCCUAGUGUAGAGGUGAAAUUCGUAGAUAUCGCAAGAACACCAGUGGCGAAGGCGGCUCACUGGCCCGGUACUGACGCUGAGGUGCGAAAGCGUGGGGAGCAAACAG
rnacentral:rRNA from 1 species